rnacentral:rRNA from 1 species
AUUGAACGCUGGCGGCAUGCUUUACACAUGCAAGUCGCACGGUAACAGGCCUUCGGGCGCUGACGAGUGGCGAACGGGUGAGUAAUGCAUUGGAACGUUCCCAGUCGUGGGGGAUAACCAUCCUAAUGGAUUGCUAAUUCCGCAUACGAUCUGCGGAUGAAUGCGGGGGACCUUCGGGACUCGCGUGAUUGGAGCUGCCGAUGUCAGCUUAGGUACUUGGUGGGGUAUAGGCUCACCAAGCCAACGAUCUGUGGCUGGUCUGAGAGGACGACCAGCCACACUGGAACUGAGACACGGCCCAGACUCCUAAGGGAGGCAGCAGUGGGGAAUUUUGGACAAUGGGCGCAAGCCUGAUCCAGCAAUGCCGCGUGCAGGAUGAAGGCCUUCGGGUUGUAAACUGCUUUUGUACGGAACGAAAAGCCCUGGGUUAAUACCCUGGGGUCAUGACGGUACCGUAAGAAUAAGCACCGGCUAACUACGUGCCAGCCGCCGCAGUAA